rnacentral:rRNA from 1 species
CCUACGGGGGGCAGCAGGGGGAAUCUUGCACAAUGGGCGGAAGCCUGAUGCAGCGACGCCGCGUGAGGGACGAAGGUCUUCGGAUCGUAAACCUCUGUCCAAAGGGACGAAGGAGUGACGGUACCUUUGGAGGAAGCCCCGGCCAACUACGUGCCAGCAGCCGCGGUAAGACGUAGGGGGCGAGCGUUGUCCGGAAUCAUUGGGCGUAAAGGGCGCGUAGGCGGUGACGUAAGUCAGGCGUGAAAGGCAUCGGCUCAACCGACGCACAUAGCCUGAUACUACGUUGCUAGAGUGCAGGAGAGGAGAGUGGAAUUCCAGGUGUAGCGGUGAAAUGCGUAGAUAUCUGGAAGAACACCAGUGGCGAAGGCGGCUCUCUGGACUGUAACUGACGCUGAGGCGCGAAAGCUGGGGGAGCAAACAGGAUUAGAUACCCUGGUAGUCCCAGCCGUAAACGAUGAACACUAGGUGUAGGGGGUAUCGACCCCUCCUGUGCCGCAGUUAACGCAGUAAGUGUUCCGCCUGGGGAGUACGGCCGCAAGGCUGAAACUCAAAGGAAUUGACGGGGGCCCGCACAAGCGGUGGAGCAUGUGGUUUAAUUCGAUGCAACGCGAAGAACCUUACCAGGGCUUGACAUCCCUCUGACGGGUCUAGAGAUAGGCCUUCCCUUUGGGCAGAGGAGACAGGUGGUGCAUGGCUGUCGUCAGCUCGUGUCGUGAGAUGUUGGGUUAAGUCCCGCAACGAGCGCAACCCUUGCCUUUAGUUGCCAUCAUUAAGUUGGGCACUCUAGAGGGACUGCCGGCGACAAGUCGGA